rnacentral:rRNA from 1 species
UACGUAGGUGGCGAGCGUUGUCCGGAUUUACUGGGCAUAAAGAGCGCGCAGGCGGUCGUGCAAGUCGCGUGUGAAAGCCCCCGGCUCAACUGGGGAGGGUCACGCGAUACUGCUCGACUCGAAGGCAGGAGAGGGAAGUGGAAUUCCCGGUGUAGUGGUGAAAUGCGUAGAUAUCGGGAGGAACACCGGUGGCGAAGGCGGCAUCCUGGACCAACACUGACGCUGGAGGAGACGAA